rnacentral:rRNA from 1 species
GACGAACGCUGGCGGCGUGCCUAAUACAUGCAAGUCGAGCGAAGUUUUUCUGGUGCUUGCACUAGAAAAACUUAGCGGCGAACGGGUGAGUAACACGUAAAGAACCUGCCUCAUAGACUGGGACAACUAUUGGAAACGAUAGCUAAUACCGGAUAACAGUAUUUCUCGCAUGGGAGAUAUUUAAAAGUUGGUUAUGCUAACACUAUGAGAUGGCUUGCGGUGCAUUAGCUAGUUGGUGGGGUAAAGGCCCACCAAGGCGACGAUGCAUAGCCGACCUGAGAGGGUGAUCGGCCACACUGGGACUGAGACACGGCCCAGACUCCUACGGGAGGCAGCAGUAGGGAAUCUUCCGCAAUGGGCGAAAGCCUGACGGAGCAACGCCGCGUGAGUGAAGAAGGAUUUCGGUUCGUAAAGCUCUGUUGUUAGGGAAGAAUGGAUAUGUAGUAACUAUACA